AGGCAUGGUUUGUCCUUUAAUUACCUUCUGCAUGGAUAUUUAGGCAAGCUCAAAGUAAAAUAAAACUAAUAAUAAUAAUAAAGCAUGGAUAUUUGGGCAAGCUGAAAGUAAAAUAAAACAUAUUAUGUCCUUAUACUUAGAGAAUUUUAAACUUGAAAGAGAAAUGUAAUUGAAGAUUGGUUUUAUUUAGCCACUAUUGCCCUCUAGUGACCAAUAUAAACAUUACAAUGAAAGAAUAAAAACCUUUAACAAUGUCAAAUACAUUUUUGUUCAGGUUUUAAAUGCCAGUCAGGUAAGGGCCAUCUUACAUUAAAUGCCACCACACCAGGAAAUACAAAAUCCAAAAAUCCUCACAUUAAGGCCUAAACAUGCAGUUUUGCUCACUUCAGGAGGUUUGCACAUACAGAGGCACAUUAUUUCCUUUUUGACUCCAAAAAAACCCACAGCGCCUUUGGGAACUUUAAUGCUUUGUCCCCUUCUGUGAUUCUUAACUGGAUCAGGCCCAUGGCACCUGAAGUUCAGAUCACUAACAUGCUUCUCUUUGUAAACUGAAGUUUAGGCAGAAGGGUGGAGGUAUGUUGCAUCUACCAGUCACACAGGAAGUAUAAUGAAACUUGUAUUUUCUCCACGUACUCCUGUGUCUUCAACAGCUGGGAAAGAGGCUGACCUUCAGCACUCCCUCUGCAGGGCUGCUCGUCGUGGUCGUCGUCGGUCCCCCAGCCGGGGCUGGAGCGCCGGAGGAGCCGGGCGGGGCCGCAGCGGGCGAGCGGCGAAGGGCCCUCGGCUU
rnacentral:lncRNA from 1 species